rnacentral:rRNA from 1 species
UACGAAGGGGGCUAGCGUUGUUCGGAUUUACUGGGCGUAAAGCGCACGUAGGCGGAUCGAUCAGUCAGGGGUGAAAUCCCAGAGCUCAACUCUGGAACUGCCUUUGAUACUGUCGAUCUGGAGUAUGGAAGAGGUGAGUGGAAUUCCGAGUGUAGAGGUGAAAUUCGUAGAUAUUCGGAGGAACACCAGUGGCGAAGGCGGCUCACUGGUCCAUUACUGACGCUGAGGUGCGAAAGCGUGGGGAG